rnacentral:rRNA from 1 species
CAGUAGCCGCGGUAAUACGUAGGUGGCAAGCGUUGUCCGGAAUUAUUGGGCGUAAAGGGCUCGCAGGCGGUUUCUUAAGCCCGAUGUGAAAGCCCCCGGCUCAACCGGGGAGGGUCAUUGGAAACUGGGAAACUUGAGUGCAGAAGAGGAGAGUGGAAUUCCACGUGUAGCGGUGAAAUGCGUAGAGAUGUGGAGGAACACCAGUGGCGAAGGCGACUCUCUGGUCUGUAACUGACGCUGAGGAGCGAAAGCGUGGGGAGCGAACAGGAUUAGAUACCCCCGUAGUCCCUGUCUCUUAUAC